rnacentral:lncRNA from 1 species
CUACUGAUAUUAGUGGUGUGAAUUUAAUAUCAUUUCAAUUGCUUGGGACUGAAAAUUAUGCUUUAUGGAGUAGAUCCAUAAAGCUAGUGUUAGGAUCGAGAAUCCCGAAUAGUGUGAAAUUAAACAAAGUAAUCAAUUAAAGACAAUAAAAAAAAUGAUAAUAAUGCUAAGCUGAGAAAAUAAAGGAGUCACAAAUUUAACGUGGUUCGGUCAACUUGACCUACUUCCACAACCAAAAGGAGGAGCAACUUUACUAAACACCAACGGAACAAAAGAGAGUACAAAAGCACAAAAAGAGUACAAAAUUAGAGUAAUUCAAUACUCUAAUAUCCCAAAUACCCCAGAGAGUAGCCUCACAAAUAUCACUCCAAAGAAGAGGUUCACUCAAAGUAUUUCCCAACACAACUCUCUCACAAAUACUCUCAACAAAGAAGAAAACAAACACAACUAAAUUUUCUCAAAUAUUGGUGUGUCUUCUCAAUUGGUGUGUCUCAAAGUGAAAGAACUCUCCCUUAUUUAUAGGAGGAGGUUCUUGAGAGAAAUUUUAAAAAAAAAAAACUCUAAAUAAUCUCAUGAUAAAUGAUAAUUAAAAAACUCUUGAGAGAUUUUCAAUGUAUCAUUUAUCAUGAGAUUUUCAAGAUAUUUUGAAUAAAAUAUUAGCUAAAAAUUAUGGCCACAUUACAAAUCUCCACCUUGACCUAAUUUUGGUUAAUAUAGUAAUAUGCUCCACCUUCUUCACAAAGCCCCAAGGGACUUUCAAAAUUCCAUGAUGUCAGAAUCAAAUGAGUUUCCAUCUGAAAUUUAAACAGUAGUAACAUUUGUAAUAGUAGAUCCCAACAGUGUAUACAACGUCCUAGACUUGCGUGCCUUCAUAACCACAAGACCACCUCGAGAGACUUUAAGGACUCCACCUUCACCUGUGUAUUUGCAUCCAAGAGAUUCUAGAAUACCCAAAGAGAUGAGAUUUUUUUUCAAUUCAGGAACACAUCUAACAUUUCUGAGAGUUCUUACAAUACCAUCGUGCAUUUUAAUUCGGACUGUACCUUUUCCAAUAAUUUUGCAAGCAACAUUGUUGUCUACCAAGACAACUCCACCUUCAACAGGAUCAUAUGUAGAAAACAAGCCCUUGUUAGGACACAUAUGAAAUGAACAAGCCGAAUCUAAAAUCCACUCAUUGUUAGAACAAGAAAUAUUUUCGGUUACUAAAGAUAUUGCUCCUUCAAUCUCAUCCGCAGCAACACUUGCUUCAGCGGUGUCAGAAUUCUCGUGCUCAUUUUUCUUUACUUUUCCCUUGUUUUGCAACUUAGGACAAUCAAACCUGAUGUGACCUUUUUUAUGACAAUAAUAACACACUGAAUUACUAAAUCUGGACUUUGCAUUAGAUCUACUCCUGAUAAAUAAAUCGGACGCCUGAUUUCCAAUACCUUCCUCGGUAAUAUCUCUAUCUAACUGAUCUUUAGAUUUCAACAUAGAUUUGAUUUUUCUAUAAGAGAUAUUUUCUUUUCCAAUAAAAUAUAGUAUCUCUAAAAUGCUUAAAGAAAUGGGGUAAGGAACAUAUUAGCAAAACAACUUGAUCUUCUUCCUCAAUCUUGACAUCUAUAUUACUUAAAUCCAUAAGAAUGGAAUCAAAGGUAUCAAGAUGCAAGAGUAUGGAAGUAUUUUCAUCCAUACAAAAUGUAUAAAGUUUUUUGCUUCAAGUAGAGUCUAUUCUCUACCGUUCUUGUCAUAUACAGGCUUUUCAACUUUUCCCACAUGCCUUUGACAGUGGUUUCCGAAGCUACUUCACGUAAUAGAUCAUCAGAGAGAUUUAGAAUAAUACUAGAUCUCGCCUUUUUAUCAAGGCUAUCAAACUCCCUCGUCUGUCAUUUUUCCUGAAAUUUUCUCCUUUCCUUACAGUGCCGUAUCUGAACUAUCCUGAACUAGGAUAGCUUCCAUUUUCAAAUGCCACAUAAAAAAGUUUGCACUUGGGUCAAAUUUCUCAACAUAAAUCUUUGUAAUCGUCAUGGUGACUACUAAGACAAAAACGGAAUUAACCUGCUCUGAUACCAAUUUGUUAGGAUGGAGAAUCCCGAAUAGUGCGAAAUUAAACAAAGUAAUCAAUUAAAGACAAUAAGAAAGACGAUAAUAAUGCUAAGCUGAGAAAAUAAAGGAGUCACAAAUUUAACGUGGUUCGGUCAACUUGACCUACUUCCACAACCAAAAGGAGGAGCA